rnacentral:misc_RNA from 1 species
UAAUUCCCGCCGGUCUCUAAGAUU